GUAUCAUGUAUAAAAUCUGAACAAACUUUAUUUUUUGAGUUAACUUCCUAUGGAGCUAAAUCUGAUCCAUUUUAAACUCAGAUUUCAUAUAUCAAAAUUUUAUAUGAUAAUUGGUAAGAUUAUUUUUUUCCCCCAUUUUACAGGCAAAGAUUAAUGCUGCUGCGGCCGCAGCACCGUAAUAUGCAAGGUCAGAUGAAUCAAAUGUAACUCAAGCCGGACCCAAUUAAUUAACUGGGUCACAAAACAUUAAGCUACAUUCCCAGAGGGCAAAAUUAAGCAGCCAUGAUAACACAACCAUGAUCCUCCUCCGUAGCUUGAACUGGAUCUUCAAAAUUCUAUUAAGCAUAACACCAUGUCUCUCAUCACUGGUCAAAUAAUGAGAUUUGAGUCGACAGAUAAUUCUAUCCACUAAGAGUUUGAAAUAAUCACACUAAAAUGUUGGAGAAAUAUGUAGAUAAGAUAGUGCUCUUGUCCUUCCCCAUCACUUGAACCUCCUUCCAUGGAGGAUGAAUACAAAUCAAGUUCCCUACUUCCAGAUCAACAUCGCUGCAAAUUCUUGGACUAAAUAUAACUGUUCCUUCCCUUUCUCUAUCUACCAAUUUUUGGGAGCCCUGCAGACAUAACCUUUAGUCAGCAAAUGCUCUUGAUCAAGGUCCGGCAGCUAGCAAGUUUAUCUAAUUUUCAUUCAGGAUUAGCAACAGUAACCACAAGUCAUACAUAUAUUCCUGGAUGAAAAGGAAACAGAGAGCUCCCAAUAAGAUAAUAGCAUAGGCUUGUCUCCAAGCGGGGCAUUAUGGUAGAAUUGCUAGUAACAUCAAACAUGUAUUACUCAAUGAGAAGUACAGAAAGCCUCCGAAAUCAGAGCAUGACUUGAAUAAUGAAUACUACAAUAGUGAGUCCCAAUGCUAAAAUAUUCCAUAUUAAACCUGUUCCGAGUAUAGAGCACAACCUCUACAUUCUUGCAAAACAAGCAGUGACAAACAGUCAGCUUUGCAUCCAAAUAUCUUGAAAGGAUCUUUACAACUAUAGAAUGUGCAUUAUCUGUAUCCAACAUUUGCCAAAGAUAAGUAGUGGAUUAAGAAAUGCAAGAUGCAAAAAGUCUGUUGGUGUUGAUUGUUCAUAUACACACGUCAGUUGGAGGAGAUGCUUUAAGAACAAAAAUAAUACAUAACCAAAAGGCUUUACCACUGGGGCUAGCUCCCAUCUGUAUCUUUUUCAGAAAAUUAGCAUCUCUUUCCUUUUCACUCUGCAUGACCUGCUGUAACUUCCUGAACAAUCCAAUACCUGACAGUUUGGCAGCUGCAACAUGGGCCCCAUCGUCAUUGCUGAAAGAGGUAGCAGCCAAUGCUUCCUGAAAUCGAUCAGCCAUACUCUGCCUCUUCAUCUCUGGGUUUGCAAGAUCUAGGUUUUGAUAAUUGGCCUGAAGGGUAGAAAUUUAAACAAGCAGUGGAUAACUUUAACUCGAGCAAAAAAUUAGAAAGGAAUUAAAGCCAAGAAAUACCUCAUCAUCAGUUGAUGACCCAGUAAUUACUUGCUCAGGUUUUUCUUCAUCAUCAAUGAUUCUGUCACCCAAUGGUGAUACAUUUUUCUUCACCAUGAGCUGUGCCCUUUUUCCUUUUGUUCUUCUAAACAUUUUAGAAUUUCCUCUUUGAAGAACAUUCCUAUCCUGAAGGCCCUCUAAUAGCUCAGCCAUUGAAUGCUCAAUGAGUCCAUUCCCAAUGGCUUCUACAUCAGCAGGUGCAACUUUUAAUGGCCUUCCAUUUUCUCCAUGAAAAUCUUCAAGAAACUCAAGGUUUGAAUUUUCUAUGGUUUCAUCCUCAAUUGGUUCCAGUUGUUCAGGUGCAUCAAGAGCCUUGGAUGACGUAACAUUUUCAUCCUCAGGAAUAAAAGGAUGAAAGAGUCCAUCUUUAUGUGACUUUAUACGCAGAGAGAAUUUUAGCUUUACUUUGUCUCCAACUCCUGCAACCCAUGAAGAUGCUUGGCCAGAGAAACUACCAGAAAAUCAACUCAAGUAACAAAGCUUCACCAAAUCAAUUAUGGUCAAACAACCAGCAGAUUUAAUUCAUACUUAUAUACAAAACAUAUAUCUGCCACACAAGCAAGUUUGUGAUUAUCUAUCUUGGCAACUGAAUAUCACACAAGCUCAAUUAGUUGGGUUAUGAGUUGCGACCUUGGGCUACUUUCUGACAAGGGUCAUUUAUUAAGUUUCCAAGUGAAAGAGACCAGAGUCAACUCAUAGAUGUGUAACUGGGAUUUGCUUUUAAAUGUCUUAUUUUUGUUCAUUUCCAGUUUAAUUUUUCACCAAUCUGUGUCUACCCAGGUUCAUGGUUUGUCUCACAACUCAAAUAACAUAUGAAGUCAGAAACUUUAGUUUUUCAUAUGAUAUACAAAAAGCUAAAGACAUCUUAUGCUCCAUGUGUUGAUGCAAAUGAUUCUUAACAAAAGCAUAUCAACAAUGAAAAAGCAAAUAUCAUUGUUAAGCAGCACUUAUCAACUCAGAAAACUACCUUUACAAGAUUUGUUUGCUUUGGAGAAGGCAGAAAAGGAAGACAAAGAUUGUUCAUUCAAAUGGUUUAACGCCUCAGCUUCUUUACUUAUCAUGGACCAUGUGCAUGCCUCAUCUUGUUUUUCACUUCUUAAAAUAUGGAGAUUACUAUCUUUAUUGAGCUUCCUAUCACUAGAUGUAAUGGAAUUUGCAAGUACAUAGUCAUCCUCAUCAUCAGAUAUGAUUUCCUCAUUUUGAUGGUGUUUAGAUUCCUUCCUUUGGGAAAAGAUUAAGCCACCAUCAUUGGGGAAAUCAGGCACUUCAACCUCGUCUCCAACAAAGAAGCUUGUUUGGUUCUGAUCACAACAUCUCACAUUAUUCAUUAAUAUGUGAUGUAAGAAAAUGGUUACUAAAACUGAGCUGUAGUUGCACAUGCCUCAUGUAUUAAAUUUCCAGCUUCCUUUCCCAAACUUCCAUCUUUCAUACCUGUGAAAAGAAAUAUUUGUUAAAAGUCUUUCUGAUGAAUGACAAUAGUGAAAAUCACUUGAAUUCAAAUUUAUAGAAAAAGAGAGCACUUGCAUAGUUGCAUGUCUAAUGCAACUUGUAACUAAUGAAUUUUAUCAACAGUACAACACAAUGCCGUCACAUACUCCCCUAGAGGCUAGAAGCCACAAUCAAAUUGAAAUUGGGGCAAGGAAAGUAAAGAAUUAACAAAAUAUUAAGAAACUACAUGGUGGACUGGAAUCACAUAAACUAGACCACAAGAAAAAAAAAAAAAAAAAUCUUUCACCGUAUGGACAAUAUUCUUUUUCCCUGUUACCAAAUUGUCCAAAUAAUUAAUUAGGAUGCAAAGGAAAAAAGAAAAUUAAGGAUCAAUUACCCUUAAUUACAUUGAUAAUUUUCAAGAGUAAAAUCAAGUAGAUAAGGGGAAAAGACAUUUUGUUUGAGCAUCCUAAGGGCAGCACUCGUGAACUCUUGCAGAGGUAUGUGUACAUACAUGUGUGUGUUAAAAGAUGAAAACAAGAAAAAAGAAAUAAAAACAAAAAGA
rnacentral:misc_RNA from 1 species